rnacentral:rRNA from 1 species
UGGGGAAUAUUGGACAAUGGGCGAAAGCCUGAUCCAGCCAUGCCGCGUGAGUGAUGAAGGCCUUAGGGUUGUAAAGCUCUUUUGCCAGGGAAGAUGAUGACGGUACCUGGAGAAUAAGCACCGGCUAACUUCGUGCCAGCAGCCGCGGUAAUACGAAGGGUGCUAGCGUUGUUCGGAAUCACUGGGCGUAAAGCGUGCGUAGGCGGCUAUUCAAGUCAGGGGUGAAAUCCUGGGGCUCAACCCUAGAAUUGCCUUUGAAACUAAAUAGCUAGAGUACUGGAGGGGAUAGCGGAAUUCCUAAUGUAGAGGUGAAAUUCGUAGAUAUUAGGAGGAACACCGGUGGCGAAGGCGGCUAUCUGGACAGUAACUGACGCUCUGGCACGAAAGCGUGGGUAUCAAACAGG